UGUGCCAGCAGCCGCGGUAAUACGGAGGGUGCAAGCGUUAAUCGGAAUUACUGGGCGUAAAGCGCACGCAGGCGGUCUGUCAAGUCGGAUGUGAAAUCCCCGGGCUCAACCUGGGAACUGCAUUCGAAACUGGCAGGCUUGAGUCUCGUAGAGGGGGGUAGAGUUCCAGGUGUAGCGGUGGAAUGCGUAGAGAUCUGGAGGAAUACCGGUGGCGAAGGCGGCCCCCUGGACGAAGACUGACGCUCAGGUGCGAAAGCGUGGGGAGCAAACAGGAUUAGAAACCCCGGUAGUCCA
rnacentral:rRNA from 1 species